CUUGGCCCGUUGAUUUGCUAGGAGAAGCUUGCUGCAGAUGGUUUUCCUGAUGCUGUUGCGGUCGGAGGAGGAGCUCGGGGCCUCACUAUCUCUGGGAAUGGCUGCUGUUUCAUCAGGGGAGCUCCAACCUUUACCAUGAGCAUCACUUCCUGCCUCCAAUGUGGAUCCCUCACGUUGAUGGCGCAAAUUCUUCAUCUGACUGGAGUAGGUUUUCUGGCUUCCACAACUGGCCUUUGGGCUUCCAGGUGCAGAACUUCAAUAUGAACAAGAAUGAGACAUUGCCGUGGGCUCUAGACCACUGGCUGGACUUGAGCAGGAGAUUGCCUUGGACUCUAAGUCUUUAGCUGGAUUUGUGUGGGAAAUUGCUGGGAUCCAGGCCCUCAGCUGAAUCCUCUGGGCUUCUAGUGUGCAGUUACUCACUUUGCACUCCUUUGCAUUUGACUCUUUGGGCACAAUAAGAUGUUCGAAGUUCAUAUUAACACCUCCUCCAUGCCAGCCAUAGAACCGGCCAUUUUUCUAUGGAGCCCUAUCUUCUUUGGAAGAUUCCAUGCUAUAAGCCUACCCAAAAUGACAACGCCUGGCACCUAUGGAGGGCCUUUAGAUAGACCCUCUGUAGAGUAACUGACUGCUGAUCACAACUACAACUGAUCACAACUUCAGCCAGAAGUAGCCAGAAUGGUCUUUGCUCUUUGCCCCCUCACACCAGUUAGAGGUUCUUCAGAGGGGGGGAAUAUUGCAGAUAGGUAAGUUUAUUAGAUAUCUUGUAGGCAGAUAGACAGAGCCAGCCCAGGAGGAGCCAACAUGGCAGACAAUCAAGACACAUUCACUGAAGGCCAGCAUUGUAAGAGAAGAGAAACUACUACACCCAGGUGCUUCCCCUAAGGAUAAAUAGGUAUCAGCCACAUGGGUGGGAGACAAAGAUCUUCCAGGAAAGAUCCUUGACCCACCCUUUUCCACUAAAAAUCCUUGCUCAUUCUUUGUAUGCUUGCUAUGUGACUUGUUUCCCCAUUGGAUCCCUAUUUAAUCAGUAUUACCUAAGCAACUAUACUUGUCAUAAUCUUAUUGGUUUUCAUAGUUUUGUCCACCUUGUGAUUUCUCUCAUUGGAUCAAUAUUACCUGGGUGACUGUACUUAUAAUCUUAUUGGUUGGCCAUGGUUUUGUCCCACCUCAUGCCUGCCUUGUAAAUUUCCAUUGGGCCUUAUAGUUUUGUCCCACUUUAUACCCACCUCACCACAUGACAUGGCUGUAUAAAACAUCUUUGAAAAGUGGGGUGGGCAGGCAAUCCACUUUCCAGUCCCCCUUCUGACUCUCUUAGAAGC
rnacentral:lncRNA from 1 species